rnacentral:lncRNA from 1 species
UUUCGAUGGUAGUGAAGCUUUAAAAAAAAGAAGGAAUAGCAUACCGUCAAGUCGUUAGUUGAUGGGUAGGGUUGUUAGCCUAAUUAUGAGUUUUAUUUGUAAAAUAGGUUUAGGUUUUAGUUUUAGUUUUAAAUUAUUAGUCCAAUCAUGAGUUGAGCUGCUAGUUUAGGCGUGCGUUGACCUUUUAGCUUAGGUGUAUUGUCACGGUUUGGUUUUCAUAUCUCUGCGCCGCCUAUAUUAGCAAACAGUUGACAUAGAAUUCACAACAAUAACAAAUUAAAAAUGCAUCAUCCUGUAAUUAAAAGAAGGUAUAUUGAUGCAUCCUUUGCGUGAAUCAGACACGUAGAAUCAUGUUUCUCUCAUGACAAAGAGCACUUAUAGUAGCAUAUCUAGAAUUUUUCUCUCAGUUUUAACUUUCUUCGGUCUCGGUUUUUCCCUUGACAAAGCUGAUAAUAUAUCAUGUACAAUCAGGCAACACAUUUAUUUAGUCAACGUUCAAGUCCAAAAGCAACUUUAUGUCGUACUAAGAUACAGUUUUGCGAAGCGACAUAGAUCUCAUAACGCCUCAAUGUUUUAUUAGUAAUUCUUCGUGAUCACACUACCUGUGUAAAAUGGAUGAAGAGAAACGAGCUUUAAGCAGUAAUAACGUGUGCGCUAA